rnacentral:piRNA from 1 species
UUUAUUUUUAUUUACUGUGCAUUGGUGUU